rnacentral:rRNA from 1 species
AUUGAACGCUGGCGGCAGGCUUAACACAUGCAAGUCGAGCGGGGUGAUGGUGCUUGCACUAUCACUUAGCGGCGGACGGGUGAGUAAUGCUUAGGAAUCUGCCUAUUAGUGGGGGACAACAUCUCGAAAGGGAUGCUAAUACCGCAUACGUCCUACGGGAGAAAGCAGGGGAUCACUUGUGACCUUGCGCUAAUAGAUGAGCCUAAGUCGGAUUAGCUAGUUGGUGGGGUAAAGGCCUACCAAGGCGACGAUCUGUAGCGGGUCUGAGAGGAUGGUCAGCCACACUGGGACGGAGACACGGCCCAGACGCCUACGGGAGGCAGCAGUGGGGAAUAUUGGACAAUGGGGGGAACCCUGAUCCAGCCAUGCCGCGUGUGUGAAGAAGGCCUUAUGGUUGUAAAGCACUUUAAGCGAGGAGGAGGCUCUUUUGGUUAAUACCCAAGAUGAGUGGACGUUACUCGCAGAAUAAGCACCGGCUAACUCUGUGCCAGCCGCCGCAGUAA